rnacentral:rRNA from 1 species
GCACAAGCAGUGGAGUAUGUGGUUUAAUUCGAAGCAACGCGAAGAACCUUACCAGGUCUUGACAUCCGAUGCAUAGCACAGAGAUGUGUGAAAUCCUUCGGGACAUCGAGACAGGUGGUGCAUGGUUGUCGUCAGCUCGUGUCGUGAGAUGUUGGGUUAAGUCCCGCAACGAGCGCAACCCUUAUUGCCAGUUACUACGUUAAGAGGACUCUGGCGAGACUGCCG